rnacentral:rRNA from 1 species
GCUAUACAUGCAAGUCGAACGCUUCUUUUUCCACCGGAGCUUGCUCCACCGGAAAAAGAGGAGUGGCGAACGGGUGAGUAACACGUGGGUAACCUGCCCAUCAGAAGGGGAUAACACUUGGAAACAGGUGCUAAUACCGUAUAACAAUCAAAACCGCAUGGUUUUGAUUUGAAAGGCGCUUUCGGGUGUCGCUGAUGGAUGGACCCGCGGUGCAUUAGCUAGUUGGUGAGGUAACGGCUCACCAAGGCCACGAUGCAUAGCCGACCUGAGAGGGUGAUCGGCCACAUUGGGACUGAGACACGGCCCAAACUCCUACGGGAGGCAGCAGUAGGGAAUCUUCGGCAAUGGACGAAAGUCUGACCGAGCAACGCCGCGUGAGUGAAGAAGGUUUUCGGAUCGUAAAACUCUGUUGUUAGAGAAGAACAAGGAUGAGAGUAACUGUUCAUCCCUUGACGGUAUCUAACCAGAAAGCCACGGCUAACUACGUGCCCACCAGCCU